rnacentral:sRNA from 1 species
CUUGGUCAUUUAGAGGAAGUAAAAGUCGUAACAAGGUUUCCGUAGGUGAACCUGCGGAAGGAUCAUUAUCGAAUAAACUAGGUGGGUUGUUGCUGUCCCUCUCGGGGGAAUUGUGCACGCCCUACCUUUUUUGUUUUUCCACCUGUGCACACACUGUAGGUCUGGAGGGGAAGGGAGGCAACUCCCUGACGUUUCAGGUCCUAUGUCUUUACACAUACACUAUUAAAAGUAACAGAACGAUUCAAUGGGCUCUAAGCCUAUAAACUAUAUACAACUUUCAGCAACGGAUCUCUUGGCUCUCGCAUCGAUGAAGAACGCAGUGAAAUGCGAUAAGUAAUGUGAAUUGCAGAAUUCAGUGAAUCAUCGAAUCUUUGAACGCACCUUGCGCUCGUUGGUAUUCCGACGAGCAUGCCUGUUUGAGUGUCAUUAAAUUCUCAACCUCAUCGCUUUUGUGAUGAUGGCUUGGAAGUGGAGGUUUUUUGCAGGCUGAAAAGUCUGCUCCUCUCAAAUGAAUUAGUGGGUGCCCCGCGCAAACCUAUCUAUUGGUGUGAUAAUUAUCUACGCCGUGGAUCCUCAGGAUUGCUGUAAAAAGGUGUUUGCCCUGCUUCUAACCGUCUUCGGACAACUUGAACCAUUUGACCUCAAAUCAGGUAGGACUACCCGCUGAACUUAAGCAUAUCAAUAAGCGGAGGAAAAGAAACUAACAAGGAUUCCCCUAGUAACUGCGAGUGAAGCGGGAAAAGCUCAAAUUUAAAAUCUGGCAGUCUUUGAUUGUCCGAGUUGUAAUCUAGAGAGGCAUUAUCCGCGCUGGACCGUGUACAAGUCUCCUGGAAUGGAGCGUCAUAGAGGGUGAGAAUCCCGUCUUUGACACGGACUGCCAGGGCUUUGUGAUGUGCUCUCAAAGAGUCGAGUUGUUUGGGAAU